CGGCACGGGUGAGUAACACGUAUCCAACCUGCCGUCUACUCUUGGACAGCCUUCUGAAAGGAAGAUUAAUACAAGAUGGCAUCAUGAGUCCGCAUGUUCACAUGAUUAAAGGUGUUCCGGUAGACGAUGGGGAUGCGUUCCAUUAGAUAGUAGGCGGGGUAACGGCCCACCUAGUCUUCGAUGGAUAGGGGUUCUGAGAGGAAGGCCCCCCACAUUGGAACUGAGACACGGUCCAA
rnacentral:rRNA from 1 species